AAGGAUUUAAGUUAAAAAAACUUAUAGCCUUCAAAGCUAAAAAUAAAGAAUUCUUUAAGCCUUA
rnacentral:tRNA from 1 species